rnacentral:rRNA from 1 species
UACGUGGGGGGCAAGCGUUGUUCGGAAUUACUGGGCGUAAAGGGCGCGUAGGCGGCCUUCUAAGUCGGACGUGAAAUCCCUCGGCUUAACCGAGGAACUGCGUCUGAUACUGAAAGGCUUGAAUCCGGGAGAGGGAUGUGGAAUUCCAGGUGUAGCGGUGAAAUGCGUAGAUAUCUGGAGGAACACCGGUGGCGAAGGCGGCAUCCUGGACCGGUAUUGACGCUGAGGCGCGAAAGCUAGGGGAGCAAACGGG